UUUAUGGAGAGUUUGAUCCUGGCUCAGGACGAACGCUGGCGGCGUGCCUAAUACAUGCAAGUCGAGCGAACAGAAAAGGAGCUUGCUCCUUUGACGUUAGCGGCGGACGGGUGAGUAACACGUGGGCAACCUACCUUAUAGUUUGGGAUAACUCCGGGAAACCGGGGCUAAUACCGAAUAAUCUAUUUUACUUCAUGGUGAAAUACUGAAAGACGGUUUCGGCUGUCGCUAUAAGAUGGGCCCGCGGCGCAUUAGCUAGUUGGUGAGGUAACGGCUCACCAAGGCGACGAUGCGUAGCCGACCUGAGAGGGUGAUCGGCCACACUGGGACUGAGACACGGCCCAGACUCCUACGGGAGGCAGCAGUAGGGAAUCUUCCACAAUGGGCGAAAGCCUGAUGGAGCAACGCCGCGUGAGUGAAGAAGGUUUUCGGAUCGUAAAACUCUGUUGUAAGG
rnacentral:rRNA from 1 species